GAUGAACGCUAGCGGCAGGCUUAAUACAUGCAAGUCAAGGGGUAGCAAUACAACCGGCGCACGGGUGAGUAACGCGUACACAACAUACCAUAUACUGGAGUAUAGCUUUGGGAAACUGAAGGUAAUCCUCCAUAACAUUGCGAGAGGGCAUCUGAUUGCAAUUAAAGUUUCGGCGGUAUAUGAUUGGUGUGCGUUUGAUUAGCUAGUUGGUAGGGUAACGGCCUACCAAGGCGACGAUCAAUAGCUGGCGUGAGAGCGCGACCAGCCACACUGGAACUGAGACACGGUCCAGACUCCUACGGGAGGCAGCAGUAGGGAAUAUUGGACAAUGGAGGAAACUCUGAUCCAGCCAUGCCGCGUGAUAGAUGAAGGCCCUCUGGGUUGUAAAUAUCUUUUAUCUGGGAAGAAACACUCCUAUUCUUAGGACUUAGACGGUACCAGAGGAAUAAGCACCGGCUAACUCCGUGCCAGCAG
rnacentral:rRNA from 1 species